GACGAACGCUGGCGGCGCGCUUAACACAUGCAAGUCGAACGGAAAGGCCUGCUUUCCCUUGUGGAUUGCGGGUACUCGAGUGGCGAACGGGUGAGUAACACGUGAGUGAUCUGCCCCCAACUUGGGUAUAAGCCUGGGAAACUGGGUCUAAUUCCCGAUAGGACUGCAGGGUGGUGCCUGUGGUGGAAAACGAUUUUCUAGUGGUUGGGGGUGAGCUGGCGGCCUAUCAGCUUGUUGGUGGGGUAAUGGCCUACCACGGCGGCGACGCGUAGCCGGCCGGGGAGGGUCGACGGUCACACUGGGACAGGGUUACGGCCCAGACGGGUGCGAGAAGCAGCAGUUGGGACUCUUGGAGCGUGGGCGUAACGGUGAAGCACCGAGUGCGCGUGGGAGAUCACCGGAUCGGGGUUGUCUGCUCCUUUCGAACGCGAGAUAUGUACCUGGUUGUAAGGGUGGUGACGGUAGUUGUAGAAAAAGCACCGGCUAACUACGUG
rnacentral:rRNA from 1 species